AAAACAAUCAGCUCUAAAAAGCGCCACAAUAGCGGAGCACGGUUACCAGGAGGAAACGUCCCCAAAAGAAACUAUGAGGCAGCUCAAGGUGAUCUCCUGUUCUGCAAAACAGAAUCGUCCCUAAAUUGUUGCUUAUUCCAACCACUGCCCCAAUGCAAAUCCUCACUCGUCUUCAGGAAGGCUGGCAGAAGCCGCACAUCCAGCCUUUUGGGAACCUGUCCACACACCCAGGCUGUUCUUCCCUGCAUUGCGCUGCACAGUGUGAUCUACACUCUACGCAGCAGAAAUAGCUCUUGUCUACAGACUGCCAAAGGAGCUUGCAGAUAUUCUGGUGCAGAACAGGAGUUGUCACAUGCUCAUUGACACAC